AGAUUCGAAGCUCAGUGGUAGAGCGCCAGUCUUCUCGCUCCCGUUUGGGGGUUCGAAUCGCUGGGGGUCGUCAGUUCAAUCCUGACCGAAUCUG